rnacentral:rRNA from 1 species
AGAGUUUGAUCAUGGCUCAGAACGUACGCUGGCGGCACGCCUAACACAUGCAAGUCGAACGAAGUAGCAAUACUUAGUGGCAGACGGGUGAGUAACAUGUGGGUAUCUGCCCUUUGGCCUGGAAUAACACGAGGAAACUUGUGCUAAUACCGGAUAAGUCUUUACGGAGAAAGCUUUACGCACCAUUGGAUGAGCCCGCACUUGAUUAGUUUGUUGGUAAGGUAAUGGCUUACCAAGACUGAGAUCAAUAGCUGAUUUGAGAGGAUGAUCAGCCACAUUGGGACUGAGACACGGCCCAAACUCCUACGGGAGGCAGCAGUGGGGAAUCUUGCACAAUGGAGGAAACUCUGAUGCAGCGAUGCCGCGUGAGUGAAGAAGGCCCUUGGGUUGUAAAGCUCUUUCGUCGGGGAAGAAAAUGACUGUACCCGAAUAAGAAGGUCCGGCUAACUUCGUGCCAGCAGCCGCGGUAAUACGAAGGGACCUAGCGUAGUUCGGAAUUACUGGGCUUAAAGAGUUCGUAGGUGGUUGAAAAAGUUGGUGGUGAAAUCCCAGAGCUUAACUCUGGAACUGCCAUCAAAACUUUUCAGCUAGAGUUUGAUAGAGGAAAGCAGAAUUUCUAGUGUAGAGGUGAAAUUCGUAGAUAUUAGAAAGAAUACCAAUUGCGAAGGCAGCUUUCUGGAUCAUUACUGACACUGAGGAACGAAAGCAUGGGUAGCGAAGAGGAUUAGAUACCCUCGUAGUCCAUGCCGUAAACGAUGUGUGUUAGACGUUGGAAAUUUAUUUUCAGUGUCGCAGCGAAAGCGAUAAACACACCGCCUGGGGAGUACGACCGCAAGGUUAAAACUCAAAUGAAUUGAC